UCCACCCGGCUCACCUCUUCAGUUGUUUGCUUUGGCAUGUAUUGCCUUAGUGGAGUUGGUUUCUUGUGUUGCCUACCGAAGCAAUGGUAUUGUCUGGUUGAUUGAUGUUGCUUUCGUCUUGUGCUAUGUUAAUGGCAUCAGAUGAACCAUGAGGCAGCCUUUCUGAUCCAUAGCGUUAGUGCAUGCAUUGAUGUUGUGGCCCAUUGAGCGCUGCUUGGUAUCCUGGAUACGGAACAUCUUGUGGGCAUGGGGUCCCUUAGGGGAUCCUUGUUUUACCCUCGGUUAGCACUCGUGUGUCUCUCAAUAUGGCGGUCUAACGGCUUCCCAGCACGCGUCUAGUGGCACGUACCAGCGGCUGGGCUAUGCUAGAGAUUCACAUGACUCUUAGAAUGACGGCCUAGCCUGCAUUGGCAUGUACCAGCAGGCCGGUCUUGUCAAAGAGGAAUGCUACCUGGUUGAUCCUGCCAGUAGUCAUAUGCUUGUCUCAA
rnacentral:misc_RNA from 1 species